AUCCUUUUAUAGUUCAUAAAUGUAGUGAUUGGGUUUUCAUGUUCAUGUAUGAGAUGUGCCAGCCCCCCUCAAACUUUCUCAUGAUGUCAGCACAUUACCCAUAUGACA